rnacentral:rRNA from 3 species
ACAACUUUCAACAACGGAUCUCUUGGCUCUCGCAUCGAUGAAGAACGCAGCGAAAUGCGAUAAGUAAUGUGAAUUGCAGAAUUCAGUGAAUCAUCGAAUCUUUGAACGCACCUUGCGCUCCUUGGUAUUCCAAGGAGCAUGCCUGUUUGAGUGUCAUUAAA